GGAUUAGACGUGGAGCUCCUAUCAUUUCAAUGAAGGGUCUACCGGAAGGGUUUGUGCGGCUGCUUGUUCAUGGUUCCCACUAAUCUUAUUCUCCAUUAGAGACGGAUCUACCGAAAGGAGAUAGGCUUGUGGUUUGCAUGACUGAGGAGCCACAUCAAUCUCUUGCUGACCGCUGUUUGGAUUGAAAGGAGCUCUGCAUCUUAAUCUA
rnacentral:pre_miRNA from 16 species